ensembl:lncRNA
GAAUAUUACAAUUAGUAAUGUAAGAAUUACUUAGUCUUCAAUUGCACAGCAUAUUUGUUUUAAAUGAGUUGUUUGGCCUUCUCCUACAUGUUAUUUCAGGAAGGAACCAUGAGAAAGUUCUGUUUAGUGGUCUGUGGUCACCCAAUUACAAAGAUAGUUGUCGAAUUUAUUUCCUCUAGACUUCUGUUACAUCCAAGGAUGUGUCAGAUUUCCUGCCAGCUAGUGGACUUGAGUUUUUGCAGGAAAACUUUCCUUAAAAAUACCCCAUUUAGGCUGCAGUCUCAAGACAGCAUUCUAUCUUCUGUCUUCCUCCCUUCCUUCCCUUUCAGCGAUCCGUCUUGUCAGUUGCAAGAACAGUAGAGCACUUCUAGCUCAGUUUGAGAGUGUCAUUAAAGCAGGAAGUGAGGGACCGCAUGGGCAGCAGGCACUGCACACAAGGGUCAAUUUGAUUUAGUAGAAAAGGAGAGUUUGACAGUACAAAACAGGCCUUGUUGCUUAAGAGAGUGCCAUCAGUCCAUCCACACAGUGUCAGACAUUGUGCUGCUGCUCAGCCCUCAGAGAACAGCCAGAUUACAGCAGUAGACUCUCUUAAGUCUCUUACAUCUGGAACUCCCAAACAAAGGCUUUCAGAAAUCACUCCAUCCCAGAAACCAGAGCGAGACAUUUUUCAUCUGACCCUUUUUCUGGAAAUGUGAGAAAAGAUGGGCUAAGUGACAUGCUAGUUCAUUCUUUCCAUGUCUUUGGCGCUGACCCUGUGAUAUGGGUCAUUUAAUGCAUGAAGGAGUGAGAAGUUCCAUGUGUGAGAAGUUUGGCUGCCUCUCCUGAGUCACUUGGACUGAUCUUAGAUGCGCGCAGGACUACAUUUUCUUAAUUAAGUGGACUUCUUAUCAUAUCUCUGGGAAAGGCUUGAUUGGAGUAGUAUGCAGCAGCCAGUAGUCUCCUGCAGUAUGCCAGCAAAGGAAAUCGAGAGUGUGUCUCUUCCUGUGGGUUGGAAAAGCUACAUAUCACCUGAGGGACGGAAAUACUAUGUCAACACAAGCACUAAAGAGACAACGUGGGAACGGCCAAGCACAUCCACCACCAGCCCAAAGGCUUCUGGGUCUCACCAACACUCAGUGAAUGGACGUCAGCUUCAUGGAGCCUCUGGACAUGUGCUGGAGCAUCCAGAUGUGUACCUGAGGAAGACCAGCCUCAGCAACCAGAUACAGUCCCAUUCUGAGGUAUCACCAUCAUAUACACACAGACACACAUAUAUAUAUCCGAAUAAGGCAUUAUAUACAGUAACUCUAAUCUUUUCUGUGGAAAAUCUGUGAAAUGAUUCCCAAUGUGAAGUGCAAAUAACUUGCAAAUACCAAAUAAUUCGGUCUUCCAUUGCUACUUGGAUUCGGACAUAAAUAUAUGAGUCAGUAGAUCUGGUGCCAUCUGCGCCAAUCUGGGGACAGUAACAGUUAAAGAAACUGGCGAAACAGGGCCAAGUAAAACCCUCCCUAUCCCACGUGAUCGACUAACAGCCAGACAAGGGCAGCUCAUGUCAUCAGCAAAUGGGAGCAGCAAGGAGUAGGCCAUAUGGGCAGCCCAGUUCUGGAUCCUUGUACGCGGUUAGAGUUUGAUCUUAAGCCAGGAUUGGAAAGGUGUUGGGUUUAAGUGGAGACGGGAAGGGUUAGACGGAGAAGACGAGAUACACUGGGAGAGUCUGGGGUGCAGAACUGUUAGCAAACAGGACCGGGCGAGCGGCGAGGAACGGAACCGUAGGUUGCGGGCCUGCGCCGACAUGUUCUGCAGGACGGUAAGACAGAAAGUCAGGUUUUGCAUGUUCGUUAGCUCCUAGUGCUGUGCAUGCUGGCUCUUUGGCCAUGUUUUUUUAUUGGUAAGAUGGAGUGUGUGUAAAUAGGUGUACAGACGCUCAGCACAUAAUGCAAACACACGCGCUAUGCUAGUACAGUUAGGCACAGAGGGGAGGCAGUGUAGUUAGAUGCAUGCUGGGAGAUGUUUUCUUUUACACGCUAAGCACACAGUCUCUAACACCUGCUCACACAAGGAUGGUGAUGCUGCGUCUGCAGCUUUAAAUAAAGCACAUACACACACUCA